UACGUAGGGUGCGAGCGUUGUCCGGAAUUAUUGGGCGUAAAGGGCGCGUAGGCGGUGCGGUAAGUCACCUGUGAAACCUCUAGGCUUAACCUAGAGCCUGCAGGCGAAACUGCCGUGCUUGAGGGUGGGAGAGGUGCGUGGAAUUCCCGGUGUAGCGGUGAAAUGCGCAGAUAUCGGGAGGAACACCAAUGGCGAAGGCAGCUCGCUGGGACGGUACUGACGCUGAGACGCGAAAGCGUGGGGAGCAAACAGG
rnacentral:rRNA from 1 species